rnacentral:misc_RNA from 1 species
UCCAAUCAACACAAUGAAGAUCAGCAUUAUGAGCCUUUUCUACCUUGACAGCAGGAGAAGAACCAGCUCUUGCAUCCCAGAGUAUAAGGCAGGAAUCGUCUCCGACACUGCAAAACUCCUGCGCACUGGAAGGGCAAAACUGAACAUCUUCUACAGUAUCAUCGUGUCCUUGGAAAAUACCUCGAGCUUGAACAGUAGGGCCUUCUGCGGAAGGUUUCGAGUUACCUGCUCCAGAUCCAGGAGACUUUGUUUCUCCCUGGUCUGCUGCUGCCAAAGUAGACACAUGAUCAUGAAUGCUCCACAGAACAACCGAUUUGUCCUUCCCUCCAGAGAGCACAAAAGGCUCAGAAGGGCACAUUGCGAGCGCAAAUUCAGCAUUGUCUUGAUGUCCAGUCAAGAUCAAGUCUGGUCGAGAAUUAUUUACUCCCAAGGUAGCAUGGCGAUUAGGCUGAGACUCAACAUCCCAAAUAAGAACAUCAGGACUGUCAGUAUGUGUGGCCACUAUUUUGCUAUCCUGAGG